CAGCACCUCAAGUGGUCAGGAUGAUUAUUGGGCCUAAAGCAUCCGUAGCCGGCGCUGUAAGUUUUCGGUUAAAUCUGUACGCUCAACGUACAGGCUGCCGGGAAUACUGCAGCGCUAGGGAGUGGGAGAGGUAGACGGUACUCGGUAGGAAGGGGUAAAAUCCUUUGAUCUAUUGAUGACCACCUGUGGCGAAGGCGGUCUACCAGAGCACGUCCGACGGUGAGGGAUGAAAGCUGGGGGAGCAAACCGGAUUAGAUACCCGAGUAGUCC
rnacentral:rRNA from 1 species